AGUGAACGCUGGCGGCGUGCUUAACACAUGCAAGUCGAACGAGAACGGAUUAUAGCUUGCUAUAAUUGUCAGCUAAGUGGCGCACGGGUGAGUAAUGUAUAGGUAAUAUGCCUCUUACUAAGGGAUAACAAAUGGAAACGUUUGCUAAUACCUUAUACUCCUUAUUAACAGAAGUUAAUAAGGGAAAGAUUUAUUGGUAAGAGAUUAGCCUGUAUUGUAUCAGUUAGUUGGUGGGGUAAUGGCUUACCAAGACUAUGACACAUAACUGGUUUGAGAGGAUGAUCAGUCACACUGGAACUGAGACACGGUCCAUAAUCCUACGGGAGGCAGCAGUGGGGAAUAUUGCACAAUGGACGUAAGUCUGAUGCAGCAACGCCGCGUGGAGGAUGACACAUUUCGGUGCGUAAACUCCUUUUAUAUGAGAAGAUAAUGACGGUAUUAUAUGAAUAAGCACCGGCUAACUCCGUGCCAGCCGCCGCGGUAA
rnacentral:rRNA from 1 species